CCUACGGGGGGCAGCAGUAGGGAAUUUUGCGCAAUGGGCGAAAGCCUGACGCAGCAACGCCGCGUGAUUGAUUAAGUCCUUCGGGGUGUAAAGCUCUGUCAGCGGGGACGAAACUUGACGGUACUCACAGAGGAAGCACCGGCUAACGCCGUGCCAGCAGCCGCGGUAAUACGGAGGGUGCAAGCGUUGUCCGGAAUCAUUGGGCGUAAAGAGUUCGUAGGUGGCAUAUUAAGUCUGGUGUGAAAUGCAGAGGCUCAACUUCUGUUCGGCACUGGAUACUGGUAAGCUGGAUUGCGGGAGAGGUAAGGGGAAUUCCUGGUGUAGCGGUGAAAUGCGUAGAUAUCAGGAGGAACAUCAGUGGCGUAAGCGCUUUACUGGGCCGUAAUUGACGCUGAGGAACGAAAGCCGGGGUAGCAAAUGGGAUUAGAUACCCCAGUAGUC
rnacentral:rRNA from 1 species